rnacentral:lncRNA from 1 species
UACUAUUCUACUCACUGGGCUAUAGUAGCUCAUCCCUCUCCCCUAACUCCAGUUGUGCAGGUUCAGAGGUCAGAGAGAACUCAGCAGGGUACAGGAAGAGUACAGAGUUUUGUAAUAGCUAGUGUGGACAUGUAAUUGUAUAGAGAUAGUGUAUAUGUAUAGAAUGGUGCUUGAUUUAUAAGACUUGUAAUCCCUUUGUGGAGUCACAUGAUCAGUUUAUGUAUGUUUCUUUAUUCGUGUAUGUUUAUGAGCAAAACCAGGCUUAACAUUAUGAGUUUGAUCCGCCUAGAGCCAUGAGGAGCUCUAGUAGGGAUUAGUAGAGCACAGAGAGAGUGCAUGCACAGGUUAAGCCUUGGAAUGAAGAAAAGUUUUAUGUUUUUACAGCAAUUGUAUGAUCAUGUAUGGGAUUUCACAGGUAUACAGACAGGAUAGCAGGCUUACUACGGGUCCCGGCGACCUUAAGUCGAUCUGGAUCCUAGUGCCGGUGGCAGUUCGGUUUCCGGGCUGUUACA